rfam:Ricinus communis cultivar Hale ctg_1100012318049, whole genome shotgun sequence.
GGGUGCGAUCAUACCAGCACUAAUGCACCGGAUCCCAUCAGAACUCCGAAGUUAAACGUGCUUGGGCGAGAGUAGUACUAAGAUGGGUGACCUCUUGGGAAGUCCUCUUGUUGCACCCC